rnacentral:rRNA from 1 species
AUUGAACGCUGGCGGCAGGCCUAACACAUGCAAGUCGAACGGAGUGGCGGACGGGUGAGUAAUGUCUGGGAAACUGCCUGGUAGCGGGGGAUAACGCCUGGAAACGGGCGCUAAUACCGCAUACUAUCAGAUGAGCCCAGGUGGGAUUAGCUAGUGGGUGGGGUAAAGGCUCACCUAGGCGACGAUCCGUAACUGGUCUGAGAGGAUGACCAGUCACACUGGAACUGAGACACGGUCCAGACUCCUACGGGAGGCAGCAGUGGGGAAUAUUGGACAAUGGGCGAAAGCCUGAUGCAGCCAUGCCGCGUGUAUGAAGAAGGUCUUCGGAUUGUAAAGCACUUUAAGUUGGGAGGCGUUACCAACAGAAUAAGCACCGGCUAACUUCGUGCCAGCCGCCGCGGUAAUUC